UUUUUUUUUCAUUUUUUU
rnacentral:sRNA from 1 species